rnacentral:misc_RNA from 1 species
AUCCUACUGCAAUUGAGGGACCUGUACAGUCUGCUGUAGGUCCAGAUGGAAAGAAGAAAGAACCUGAGAAUAAUGUACUUCUUGCAUCCAUAGAGAACAUGCAGUAUGCUGUAACAGUUGAUGUUCUUCAUACGGUAUUUUCUGCAUUUGGUAACGUCCAAAAGAUUGCUAUAUUUGAGAAAAAUGGUGGAACACAAGCUCUAAUUCAGUACCCUGAUGUUGCAACUGCAGCAGUAGCCAAAGAAACU